GUGGGGAAUAUUGGACAAUGGGGGGAACCCUGAUCCAGCCAUGCCGCGUGUGUGAAGAAGGCCUUUUGGUUGUAAAGCACUUUAAGCGAGGAGGAGGCUACCGAGAUUAAUACUCUUGGAUAGUGGACGUUACUCGCAGAAUAAGCACCGGCUAACUCUGUGCCAGCAGCCGCGGUAAUACAGAGGGUGCAAGCGUUAAUCGGAUUUACUGGGCGUAAAGCGCGCGCAGGUGGCCAAUUAAGUCAAAUGUGAAAUCCCCGAGCUUAACUUGGGAAUUGCAUUCGAUACUGGUUGGCUAGAGUAUGGGAGAGGAUGGUAGAAUUCCAGGUGUAGCGGUGAAAUGCGUAGAGAUCUGGAGGAAUACCGAUGGCGAAGGCAGCCAUCUGGCCUAAUACUGACACUGAGGUGCGAAAGGCAUGGGGAGCAAACAGGAUUAGAUACCCGUGUAGUCC
rnacentral:rRNA from 1 species